AUAGCUUCUCAGCCUUCUGGCUAAAAUCAAGUAUAGUUAUGUUUUUAUCAGUUUAAUAUCUGGAAUGUCUUCUAUCCAAAGACAUUUUUUUUUUUUUUUGAGAUGGAUUUUCACUUUUGUUGCCCAGGCUAGAGUGCAAUGGCAUGAUCUCCGUUCACCACAACCUCCGCCUCCCGAGUUCAAACAAU
rfam:Nomascus leucogenys chromosome 6, whole genome shotgun sequence.